CCUACGGGUGGCAGCAGUGGGGAAUAUUGCGCAAUGGGCGAAAGCCUGACGCAGCGACGCCGCGUGGGGGAUGAAGGUCUUCGGAUCGUAAACCUCUGUCAGCAGGGAAGAACGGUCACUGUGCUAAUCAGCAGUGAAUUGACGGUACCUGCAAAGGAAGCACCGGCUAACUCCGUGCCAGCAGCCGCGGGAAUACGGAGGGUGCGAGCGUUAAUCGGAAUUACUGGGCGUAAAGCGCUCGUAGGCGGUAUGUCAAGCCAAGGGUGAAAUCCCCGCGCUCAACGUGGGAACUGCCUUUGAAACUGGCAGACUGGAGGGUGUGAGAGGAUAGUGGAAUUCCAGGUGUAGGAGUGAAAUCCGUAGAUAUCAGGAGGAACAUCAGUGGCGAAGGCGACUAUCUGGCACAUAACUGACGCUGAGGAGCGAAAGCGUGGGUAGCAAACAGGAUUAGAUACCCGGGUAGUC
rnacentral:rRNA from 1 species